AUGGAUAGUUUUAUAGGAUAGAUAAGGAGGAGUGGAAGAGUUAAAUGCCUAGAGGAUAUUUUAUGAAUAGAUUUAGCCAUUUCAUUUGUACAUGUAAGAAAAAGAAAGGUGGCAAAUAAUGUGUUAGAAAAAGAGAUUAGAACGGAACAAAAAGUGUAUUGAAUUCUUACUUUAUAGGAUUGAUAGUUAAAAGUGGAGGAGUUUGAGCCUAGAGUAUCAUGUACGAAUAGAGAUUAACUUGAUGAAAAUGAGAUUAGAGAAUGGAACAGUAACUCAAACAAUAUAUUACAGUCCAAGAAAAGUGUAUUGAAUUCUAAGUUUAUAGGAUUAAUAGUGAAAAGUGGAGGAGUUGGAGCCUAGAGUAUCAUGUACGAAUAGAGACUAACUUGACGAAAAUGAGAUUAGAGAAUGGAACAGCUACUCAAACAAUAUAUUACAGUGCGAGAAAAGUGUAUUGAAUUCUAAGUUUAUAGGAUUGAUAGUGAAAAGUGGAGGAGUUUGAGCCUAGAGUAUCUUGUAUGAAUAGAGACUAACUUGACGAAAAAGAGAUUAGAGAAUGGAACAGUAACUCAAACAAUAUAUUACAGUGCAAGAAAAGUGUAUUGAAUUCUUACUUUAUAGGAUUGAUAGUUAAAAGUGGAGGAGUUUGAGCCUAGAGGAUCAUGUACGAAUAGAGACUAACUUGACGAAAAAGAGAUUAGAGAAUGGAACAGUGACUCAACAAUAUAUUAAGGUCCAAGAAAAUUAUGUAGGAUUAUUAGUUUAUAGAAUUAAUAGUGAAAAGUGGAGGAGCUUAAGCCUAGAGGAUCAUGUAUGAAUAGAGACUAACUUAAUGAAAAAUGGAUAUAGAAUGGAACCGUGUCUCAAACAAUAUUUUACAGUGCAAGAAAAGUAUAUAGAAUUCUUAGUUUAGAGGAUUAAUAGGGAAAAUUGGAAGAGUUGCAGCCUAUGUAGAAGAUGAUUUAACUUGAUGAAAAAUGGAUAUAGAAUGGAACCGUGUCUCAAACAAUAUAUUACAGUGCAAGAAAAAUGUGUAUAGAAUUAUCAGUUUAUAGAAUUGAUGGUGAAAAUGGGGGAGUUGAAACGUACAUAGAGGAUGAUUUAACUUGACGAAAAAGAGAUUAUAAUGAAACUGACUCAAACAAUAUAUUAAGGUGCAAAGAAAGUAUAUAGAAUUCUUAGCUUAUAGAUUUGAUAGUGAAAAGUGGAGGAGUUUGAGCCUAGAGAAUCACAUAUGAAUAGAGAUUAACAGUUUUAUACAUAUAUCGAAUAAGAAAAAGGUGUCCAAGAGCUUCAUAAAUAAGAGAUGGGGAUGGAGCAGUGACUCGAAUAUAUCAAGGUGCAGGAAAGUACGGAUGUAGAAUUUAUUUUAGGUGUAACUUCACGCUGAAAACUCACAUUAAGAUUAGUAAUAUAUAAAUCAGACAUGAUUCAAAACCUUAGCGACCCGUCAUAUAUAUAUUUUUUCUCUUUUACGAUCAGCCAGGCAGGAUUCUAGUGUUAUAUUUUAUUUUUUUAUUUUUAUUAUUAUUAUUAUUAUUAUUAUUAUUAUUAUUAUUAUUUUAUUUUUUACAUCUCUGCCUUUAGCGUAGAGAUUAGUAAAAUAUAAGCCAGACACGAUUCAAAACAUUAGCGAACCCCGACAUACAUUUUUUUUCUCUUUUACGAUCAGCCAGGCAAUUUUUUUUUUUUUUUUAUUUAAUUUUAUUUUUUUACAUCUCCACCUGUGGCGUCGGUAAGCUUUCUUCAGUUUAUUUAUUUAUCUUUAUUUCAUAGCUUAUUGGAGUACAAACUGAUUCAUGUGCUCUGGGCAUUAAGGACGACUUUUGAAUAUCACUUUGGUGUACGUUCCACAGUUUCCCAUGGCUUUUUUUUUCUAGUGCCUGUGAUUGCAAACUCUAGCUCUACAUUGCUCUUUUUUUCCUUAUUUAUUGACAUUGAUACCACCCGACCUGCGAACCGUAUCUCUAUACUGCUUAUUUUUCAUUAUUUAUAUUGAUCUUUUCUUUUACAUUUAAUAACUGCAAACUGUGGAUACCAAUUGCUAUUUCUUUUUUUAUAUGUACUGAUAACACAAAAAAACGCUGGUCUACGCCUCACCAAUAGUCAUCAUUAGGAAAGAAUCACACGGAAGUCUUUUUAGAAUGUAUACUUGCUAGAAAGGUCUCGUUCACAAAGCAGUCUUGAUUAUUUCUCUAUGUGUGUCGGAGUAAACCCCCAUUCACACUGCCGUUUCUGAGCCACGACAACCCAGCGACUCUUAGGCCUCC